GCCGUCAAAGUCGAAAUUUUAAGCGAUGGAAAAUAAAGCCAACAAGCACGUAAAAUUGCUAUUUUAAUAUCUCCUUGGGCAAAUAUUCCAUUUUAUCAAAUACAAAUACUGUCAAAAUAGUUUUGAAUGACAUUUUGAUUCCAGUUAUCAAUAUUUAUUAUAGUAUUCACAUUGAGAAAUAAGGUUGUCGCUGGCUCUGGCCCAUAGACUGUGAGAGGCCAAGUGAGGGUAAGGACGUAGACGGAUAGUUCACUAGGCUGGUCUCAGAGUUGGGUUGUUUGAGAUUGCAGCCCGAAGAGGGUGGUAAGCUCCAUCCAAAGCCAAAUGCUUCCACAAAUCCGAUAGUGAAAAAUUACCACGAAGGAAAAUUGCAGAAUACUCUGAUGAGAAAGUAUAUAGAACUUGAAGCGGCAUGCAGAUAAACUUGUGGCACCAAGGGGCGAGCCUGGAGGAUUCAACUGACUGGGAAGUAGUGUACGCGCAUGGUGUGUCGAGAGGGAGUGUAAUCGGUGUGCUCUUGAGUAUGCUGGUUAUCUCAAUGUAUGCCGGGUGGGUGCAGGAGUAGGUAGCUCGGUUGUUUAGCCAAUUAGUCAGUGCAUUCUCUCUGCAAUGAACAUCAUGAUCGUCGAAACUGCCAGCCAGUUUAUCUCAAAAAAUUU
rnacentral:ncRNA from 1 species